rnacentral:rRNA from 1 species
CCUACGGGUGGGCAGCAGUGAGGAAUAUUGGUCAAUGGACGAGAGUGUGAACCAGCCAAGUAGCGUGAAGGAUGACUGCCCUAUGGGUUGUAAACUUCUUUUAUAAAGGAAUAAAACGAGGCACGUGUGCCUUUUUGCAUGUACUUUAUGAAUAAGGAUCGGCUAACUCCGUGCCAGCAGCCGCGGUAAUACGGAGGAUCCGAGCGUUAUCCGGAUUUAUUGGGUUUAAAGGGAGCGCAGGCGGAAUGUCAAGUCAGCGGUAAAAUUUCGGGGCUCAACCCCGUCGUGCCGUUGAAACUGGCGUUCUUGAGUGAGCGAGAAGUAUGCGGAAUGCGUGGUGUAGCGGUGAAAUGCAUAGAUAUCACGCAGAACUCCGAUUGCGAAGGCAGCAUACCGGCGCUCAACUGACGCUCAUGCACGAAAGCGUGGGUAUCGAACAGGAUUAGAUACCCGGGUAGUC